CUUCAAGGACAGCUACUGCCUCUGAAGCUGAAUCAGAGGCCUGUACUAGUGUUUCAGCUGAUCAUUCCACAUUACAGUCCAAGGCAGGAGUGUCUCAAGGUGUUAAGCAGAAAAAAGAAAAUAUUACAUAGGAGAUAUUUCCUCGGAUGAUUUUUCUACGCCUGAAAAGCCAAGAAGAACUAUUAAAAGAAUUAAAACAAGAGACGUUAAGUUGAGGAGACAAAAACAUAUAUUGCAAAUGAGAGUGAGAAGGCUAAAAUUAAGAAUCACCAAUCUAACUUCUUUGUUGGACUAUCUUAAAGAAAAGGCAUUUAUUUCGGAAAAUGCUGAAUCCGCAAUAAGGGCAUCUGUAUCGGGCCCAGCAGCAGAUAUUUUUGAAAGGAUGUUAAAGGGACCAACAACUGAGAGAUACAAUGAAUCUCUUAGGUCAUUUGCGAUUACCCUUGCCUUCUAUUCUGCAAGAGCUUAUAACUUCGUGCGAAAUACGUUUAAUAAAUCUAUACCUCAAUACGACGUCAAGUGGAGUGGACUGGGCAAAAGUUUACCGGGUAUGUUGACUUUGGAGCCAAUGUUGACGGAGAUAGCCUUUCUGAAGCUAAGGAGGCAUUGGUGUUUAUGGUGGUAGCCAUUAAUGAUUCUUGGAAAGUGCCUGUUGGGUAUUUUCUUCUCAAUGGGUUUGAAUCUGCUGCUAAAGCAGACUUAGUAAUUAAUUGUAUCAGAUUUGUGCAUGAGGCAAAUGUUAUUAUUACUUCCGUUACAUUCGAUGUUGCUCCCGUAAAUAUGAGCAUGGCAGAAAAACUAGGAUGUAAUUUUCAAAAUUUCUGGAAUCUAAAAACUAGCUUUCAGCACCCUGUUACAAGUGAUCCUAUUUUUAUUUAUUUAGAUGCAUGUCAUAUGCUCAAAUUGGUUCGCAAUUGUUUGGCUUCUAAAAAAGGGAAUAAAGUUGGGUUAACAAAUUCCAAUGGCCAACCAAUAGAUUGGUCCCAUAUAGAAAACCUAAAUAGCAAACAAAAAAAGGAGGGGUUACAUUUGGCCACAAAGGUUCAAAACCGACAUAUGCAGUGGUAUAAAGAAAAAAUGAAAGUUAGGAUAGCAGCUCAAACAUUGAGCAGAAGUGUUAGUGUUGCUCUUGACUAUCUACGUGAAGAUCUAAAAGAUCCCCAAUUUCUUAAUUCUGAGGCCACCUCAGCUUUUAUAUUGUUCUGUAAUAAUGUUUUUGACAUUUUCAAUUCGCAGAAUAACCUUGCAAAGUAUUCUUUCAAAAAACCCCUUUCAGAAAAAUCUAAGCCAAUAUUUUUCGCUUAUUUAAAUAGUUUUAAGGAUUAUAUUCUAGGCGUAAAUUUUAAUAACAGA